GGGAAUACGAGAUCACUCCCAACCCAAUGUGAACCAUACCAAACUGUUGCCUCGGCGGGGUCACGCCCCGGGUGCGUCGCAGCCCCGGAACCAGGCGCCCGCCGGAGGGACCAACCAAACUCUUUUCUGUAGUCCCCUCGCGGACGUUAUUUCUUACAGCUCUGAGCAAAAAUUCAAAAUGAAUCAAAACUUUCAACAACGGAUCUCUUGGUUCUGGCAUCGAUGAAGAACGCAGCGAAAUGCGAUAAGUAAUGUGAAUUGCAGAAUUCAGUGAAUCAUCGAAUCUUUGAACGCACAUUGCGCCCGCCAGUAUUCUGGCGGGCAUGCCUGUCCGAGCGUCAUUUCAACCCUCGAACCCCUCCGGGGGGUCGGCGUUGGGGACCUCGGGAGCCCCUAAGACGGGAUCCCGGCCCCGAAAUACAGUGGCGGUCUCGCCGCAGCCUCUCCUGCGCAGUAGUUUGCACAACUCGCACCGGGAGCGCGGCGCGUCCACGUCCGUAAAACACCCAACUUCUGAAAUGUUGACCUCGGAUCAGGUAGGAAUACCCGCUGAACUUAAGCAUAUCAAUAAGCCGGGAGGAA
rnacentral:rRNA from 2 species